AGCUGACCACAGGCUGUAGAAGAAGUGUAGGUGGAGAUGCUGGGUUAUGCAGCGCUUCCUGUCCAGAGAGAAGUCACUGAAAAAGAUGUGUCGCAAAAUUAAAAGUUACAUGCUGAUCAUUUCGGGAAGCCAGAUGGAAGGCGGUCAAUAGUGUUUUUCAAUAAGCCGUAGAGCUACGGGACAAAGGUACCACCUCCCAGGACAGGAUCAAACUACAGGAAGUGGACUAGGCAGGGAGGUCUCCGACACAGACGGCCAAGCCCGGACCAGAGGACAACAACGAACUGCCAUGAGGACACCACAACACAGACCAUCUGUGACCAGGAAGAAAAGCUAGUGAUGGAUCUGCAUGAAGGAAUGGUCACUCACUGAAAAGAUAUGUUAAACUGUAUAAAAAUCACCCAUGUUAUGAAUAUGCA